GGUUCCAUAGUGUAGAUGUUAUCACGUUUGCUUUACACGCAGAAAGUCCUGGGUUCGAGCCCCAGUGGAACCA